CGGUAAUUCCAGCUCCAAUAGCGUAUAUUAAAGUUGUUGCUGUUAAAAAGCUCGUAGUUGAACUUCUGACAGCGAGCAGGUUUGGCUUUGGCCAGCCUGUUCGUUGUCAUCCGUCUGCAAACCUUGUACGUCCUUCAGUGGUUCGGCAAGGGGAGUAGACAAUUUACUUUGAAAAAAUUAGAGUGUUCAAAGCAGGUAUUAGCCUGAAUACUUUAGCAUGGAAUAAUGGAAUACGACUCUUGUCUAUUUAUGUUGGUUAUUAGACUUGAGUAAUGAUUAAUAGGGACAGUUGAAGGCAUUGGUACUUAAUUGUCAGAGGUGAAAUUCAUGGAUUUAUUAAAGACUAACUAAUGCGAAAGCAUUUGCCAAGGAUGUUUUCAUUAAUCAAGAACGAAAGUUCGAGGAUAGACAGCGAUCAGACCCCACUUUAUUUCGAACUAUAAACUAU
rnacentral:rRNA from 1 species